GAGUUUGAUCCUGGCUCAGAUUGAACGCUGGCGGCAUGCCUUACACAUGCAAGUCGAACGGUAACAGGUCUUCGGACGCUGACGAGUGGCGAACGGGUGAGUAAUACAUCGGAACGUGCCCAGUCGUGGGGGAUAACUACUCGAAAGAGUAGCUAAUACCGCAUACGAUCUGAGGAUGAAAGCGGGGGACCUUCGGGCCUCGCGCGAUUGGAGCGGCCGAUGGCAGAUUAGGUAGUUGGUGGGAUAAAAGCUUACCAAGCCGACGAUCUGUAGCUGGUCUGAGAGGACGACCAGCCACACUGGGACUGAGACACGGCCCAGACUCCUACGGGAGGCAGCAGUGGGGAAUUUUGGACAAUGGGCGAAAGCCUGAUCCACAUGCCGCGUGCAGGAUGAAGGCCUUCGGGUUGUAAACUGCUUUUGUACGGAACGAAAAAGCUUCUCCUAAUACGAGAGGCCCAUGACGGUACCGUAAGAAUUAGCACCGGUCUUACUACGUGCCAUCAUGCGCGGUAAUACGUAGGGUUGCAGCGUUAAUCGGGAAUUACUGGGUC
rnacentral:rRNA from 1 species